AUGCUUUGGAAUAAGCUCUUACAGUUUGGGAAGAGGUUUUGAUUGAUCAAAAGAAGAAUCUACUUCAACCGAUAUGCCCUUAGGCACUUCCAUACAUAACAUAGAAAUCACACUUGGAAAGGGUGGACAAUUAGCUAGAGCAGCGGGCGCUGUAGCGAAACUGAUUGCAAAAGAGGGGAAAUAGGCCACAUUAAAAUUACCUUCUGGGGAGGUCCGUUUGAUAUCCAAAAAAUUCUUAGCAACAGUCGGACAAGUGGGGAAUGUUGGGGUGAACCAGAAAAGUUUGGAUAGAGCCGGAUCUAAGCGUUGGCUAGGUAAGCGUCCUGUAGUAAGAGGAGUAGUUAUGAACCCUGUAGACCAUCCCCCAUGGGGGUGGUUAAGGGAGAUCCCCAAUUGGUAGAAGAAAACCCACAACCCCUUGGGGUUAUCCUGCACAUGGUAGAAGAAGUAGAAAAAGGAAUAAAUAUAGUGAUAAUUUGAUUUUUCAUCGCCGUAGUAAAUAGUAGAGAAAAUCGAAUUUAGUUCUUUAUUUUUACAAAAACUUUACAAAAAAAAAAAUAGGAGUAAGCUUGUGACACGUUCACUAAAAAACAAUCCUUUGUAGCCAAUCAUUUAUUAAAAAAAAUUGAUAUGAUAUUAUGGGAUGGGUAUGGGCGAACGACGGGAAUUGAACCCGCGCAUGGUGGAUUCACAAUCCACUGCCUUGAUCCACUUGGCUACAUCCGCCCCCUCGCUUACUUGCAUUCCAAUUUUACAUUAUUUAAAUUAGAAAACAAAAGAUUCAAGUUCGAAUAUUUCUCUUCUUUCUUAUUUGAAUGAUAUUAUUAUUUCAAAGAUAAGAAUAUGAAUCAAAGAUCAGAAUCUGAAGUAAAAAUUAAUUUUUUUUUUGAAAUGAAAUAAAAAAGAUAUAGUAACAAUAGCAAGAAGAGGACCAAGUUAUAUUUCUAUAAUUUUCAAUAAAUACAUACAAAAUGAAAAUAGAAUACUCAAUCCUGAAUAAAUGAUAAAUGCAUGCAAAUAUCCUCUCUUUCUUUUUCUAUAAUGUAAACAAAAAAGUAUAUGUAAGUAAAAUACUAGUAAAUUACUAAAUAAAAUAAAAAGAAAAAAAGAAAGGAGCAAUAGCACCCUCUUGAUAAAACAAGAAAAUGAUUAUUGCUCCUUUCUUUUCAAAACCUCCUAUAGACUAGACUGGGAUCUUAUCCAUUUGUAGAUGGAGCUUCGAUAGCAGCUAAGUCUAGAGGGAAGUUAUGAGCAUUAUGUUCAUGCAUAACUUCCAUACCAAGGUUAGCACGGUUAAUGAUAUUUGCCCAAGUGUUAAUUACACGACCUUGACAGUCAACUACAGAUUGGUUGAAAUUGAAACCAUUUAGGUUGAAAGCCAUAGUGUUGAUACCUAAAGCGAUAAACCAAAUACCUACUACAGGCCUGGCAGCUAGGAAGAAGUGUAACAAACUAGAGUUGUUGAAGCUAGCAUAUUGGAAGAUCAAUCGGCCAAAAUAAGCAUGAGCGGCUACGCUAUUGUAAGUUUCUUCCUCUUGAACGAAUAUGUAACCUUCAUUAGCAGAUUCAUUUUCUGUGGUUUCCCUGAUCAAACUAGAAGUUACCAAGGAACCAUGCAUAGCACUGAAUAGGGAGCUGCCGAAUACACCCGCUACGCUUAACAUAUGAAAUUGGUGCAUAAGGAUGUUGUACUCAGCCUAGAAUACAACAUGAAAUUGAAAGUACCAGAGAUUCAUAGAGACAUACCAUCAGAAAAACUUCCUUGACCGAUUGGGUAGAUCAAGAAAACUAUGGUAGCAGCUGUAAUAGGAGUUGAAUAUGGAACAGCAAUCCAAGGUCGCAUACCCAGACGAAAACUAAGCUCCCACUCGUGACCCAUGUAACAAGCUACACCAAGUAAGAAGUGUAGAACAAUUAGUUCAUAAAGAUCACCAUUGUAUAACCAUUCAUCAACGGAUGUUGCUUCCUAGAUUGGGUAAAAAUGUAAACCUUUAGCUACAGAAGUAGGAAUAAUGGCACCGAAAAUAAUAUUGUUUCCAUAAAGUAGAGACCCUGAAACGGGUUCACGAAUACCAUCAAUAUCUACUGGAGGAGCAGCAAUGAAGGAAAUAAUAAAUACAGAAGUUGCCGUCAAUAAGGUAGGGAUAAUCAAAACACCAAACCAUCCAAUGUAAAGAUGAUUUUCAGUGCUAGUUACCCAGUUACAGAAGUGACCCCAUAGGCUUUCGCUUUUACGUCUCUCUAAAAUUGCAGUCAUGGUAAAAUCUUGGUUUAUUUAAUCAUCAGGGACUCCCAAGCACACGAGUUUUCUACAAAUAAAAAUAGAAAAUGGAAGGCUUGUUAUUCAACAGUAUAACAUGACUUAUAUACUCGUGUCAACCAAGGUGUAUGUGGAUCUAUUCAAGUUUUUAAUGAAGUUGAUUGGAAAAAUAGGGACUUCUCUACAGAGAAUUAUAAUUUUGAUAUAAUAGUGGGUUACCCGGGAUUCGAACCCGGAACUAGUCGGAUGGAGUAUAUAAGUUCCUUGUUAAAUAAAAUAAAUGUUAAUCUUAAAUUAAAUAAACAAGUAAAGAUUCCUCCCCAAGCCGUGCUUGCACUUUUCAAUGCACACGGCUUUCCCUAUGUAUACAUCAUCUUUUAGAAAAUCAAAGAAUGAAUCACUGAUAAUUCGCCAGAUCGUUGAUAGAAAAAAUAUCCAAAUACCAAAUCCAACUUCUAUAUACUACCCACAAACUAGACGAAGCUCGUGGGAAGGUCAAAGAAAGAACUUGUUCUUCUGACAUUAAGAAUUCUUCCAAUAAUUCCGAGCCCGAUCUUUUCAAAAAAGUGCGUACAGUACUUUUGUGUUUCCGAGCUAAAGUUCUAGCACAAGAAAGUCGAAGUAUAUACUUUAUUCGAUAUAAAGUCGUUUUUUUGGAAGAUCCGCUAAAAUAAUGAAAAAGAUUUCUGCAUAUACGCCCCAAUCGGUCAAUAAUAUCAGAAUCUGAUAAAUCGGACCAAACCGGUUUACUAAUGGGAUGUCCUAAUACGGUACAAAAGUGUGCUUUAGCUAAUGAUCCAAUCAAAGGAAUAAUUGGAACAAGGGUAUCGAACUUUUUAAUUGCAUUAUUUAUUAGAAAUGAAUUUUCUAACAUUUGACUACGUACCGUUGAAUGAUUUAGUCGCACACUUGAAAGAUAGCCCAUAAAGUCACGGGAAUGGUUGGAUAAUUGGUUUAUAUGGAUCUUUCCUGUGUGAAAGCACAGAGAAAAAUGACAUUUCCAAAAAUUGACAAGAUAAAAUUUCCAUUUAUUCAUCAAAAGAAACGUCCCAUUUGAAGCCAGAAUUGAUUUCCCUGAUACCUAACAUAAUGUAUGAAAGGAUCCUUGAAUAACCAUAAGGUAACCUGAAAAUCCUUAACAAAUACUUCUACAAGACGUUCUAUUUUUUCAUAAAAAUAUAUUUGUUUAAGAAGGGCUCCAAAAGAUGUUGAUCGUAAAUGAAAAGAUUGGUUCUGUAGAAAGACGAAAGUGGAUUCUCAUUAAUAUACAUAAAAAUUAUAUAAAAAGAAGAAGAAUCUUUGAUUUUUUUUUUUUGAAAAGCAGUAAUCGGGCUUCUUUGAAGUAAUAAGACUACUCAAAUUCCAAUAUUCGUGGAGAAAGAAUCGUAAUAAAUGUAAAGAAGAGGCAUCUUUUACCCAAUAGCGAAGAGUUUGAACCAAGAUUUCCACAUAAACAGGGUAGGGUAUUAGUAUAUCUAAUACAUAAUUUAGAUGUGAAAAAUUAUCCUCUAAAAAAGGAAAUGUUGAAUGAAUUGAUCGUAAAUUAUAAGAUUUUAAAAUCUUUUUGCCUUCAAAAAAAGAUAAAUAAGAUAUUAAUCGCAGAGAAAACGGAAUUUCCACAAUAAAUUCAAAUCCCUCUGAUAUCAUUUGAGAAUACAAACUCUUAUUGCACUUCAAAAAUGGAUUUUUGUUAGAAUCAUUAGUAGAAAUAAGAAAAUAAUUCUGUUGAUACAUUUGAGUAAUUAAACGUUUCACAAUUAGGAAACUAAAUUUAUUGUUAUAACCCGGAUUUUCCAACAAAAUUGACCUAUUUCUAUUUAAACCAUGAUCAUGAGCAAGUGCAUAAAUAUACUCCUGAAAGAUAAGUGGAUAUAGGAAGUUGUGUUGUUGCGAGCUAUCUAGCUGUAAAUAUCUUUGGAUUUCUUCCAUUUGAAAUUCGAUUUGAACCAAAGAUGGAAGAUUUUUAGGGUUAUCAAAUGAUACAUAGUGCGAUACAGUUAAAACAAAGCAUUAUAGUAAUAAUAGAUACCUUGGAUACAGGUAAACUUCUCAACGGAUUCUCUAUCAUCUCUUUUUUUUUGUUUCAGUUAAUUGGUCUAUGUUAUAGUAUUAUAGGAUAAUAAGAUGGUUAGAAAUCCUUUAUUUUUUCAACCUAAUCGCUCUUUUGACUUCGGAAAAAACUUUCUUUAUCAAUAUACUGUUUCUUCUACACACACAUCUCCAUAAUCGAAAAUGUUAAUAGUUAGGAUUCAUUAAAAAAAUCGAGAAUCCACUCAUGGGACAAGAAACCCUUCCCGCAUCAGGCACUAAUAAAUUUUUAACGUCUAAUUAGAUCGGGAAUCAUUCAAAUUAAGAACAAAAGCUCGUUGCUUUUUCUUUCCCGAUAAUUUAAUUGAAGCCGCAGCUCUAUCCAUUUAUUCAUUCGACCCAACUUUAUUUUGUUCCGUUCCAAGAAUUCUAACACGGUUUUAUACCCAUCUAGGAACAAUGAAAUAUUUUCAGAACUUUCCGUUGAUACGACAUGCUAUUUUUACCAUUCAUUCCCUUUCAGGAUCAGUCGUGGUCUUCCAAACUUUACCGAGAGUAUGGACGAAUCCCUCACUUCAUCCAUAUGUGUAAAAGACACUAGCCGCACUUAAAAGCCGAGUACUCUACCGUUGAGUUAGCAACCCGAAGAAAAUAUCGAAAAAAUGGUGUAGAUCCAAUCCGAAGAAAAAGAAAUAAAGAGAUUAGACAAGACAACCCAAAACCAUUGAAAGAAGAAAUCUAAAAAAAUAAAUUCACACUUUCUAAUUAAUUUAAAAGAUAAAAUAAAACUAAAUAGAUCCACUUCAUUUAUCAAUUUAUCACAAUGAAUUAUAUUUGUUCGAUACACUGUUGUCAAUAUGAAUAUUAAAAAAAAAAUAAAAGAAAUUUCAAUUGAAAAUAAUAAAAAAAAAAAAGGACUUGUGUUGGAUUGGCACUACAAAUAUAACCAAACCAAAUAAAAUCGAUAGAAAAAAGUAUAGAUGACAGAAUAAAUAAAGAAUAAGUGAAAAACAAAACUACAAUUUACUUAGAUUUAUUGAAUCCAUAAUGGAUUCAAUCAAGUUAAGUGAUAAAAGAAAACUUGAUUUCUUUGUUAGCUUUAGUAGAGUUCCAAUGAAAAACGGAAAACCAACCGAAAUGCCCGAAUUUAUUAUUUCUAAGAUCAAUAAAAUAAGAGGUUUUGUCGUUAUAGAACAUGGAAUUCGAUGGAAGCAAUGAUAAAUAAAUACAAAUAGAAAAGGAAAGGGAGGAAAUACAAAAAAAUAGAAGAGAAAAGUCAUACAAAGUUAUAUACAAAUCACUACCCCCCCUUUUUUGUAUUUCCUUAAUUUAUUUCCUUAAUUGAAUUUUGGUUGAUUAGGACGAAGUUCCUUAAAAACCUCCGCCUUCUUUAAAAUAUCCUGAACAGUUCCUGUAGGUUGAGCCCCCUUUUCAAGGAAAUAUAAAAUAGCAGGAACAUUUAAAUAAGUUUGAUUCUUUAUCGGAUCAUAAAAAGCCACUUUCCGAAGAUCUUUUCCUUCUCUUCGGGAUCGAACAUCAAUUGCAAUGAUUCUAUAGACGGCUCAUUGGGAUAGAUUUAGAUGAGCAACACCACCUAAAAAUGUAUAGAAAGCUAUGUCCUCGUACGGAUCGAGAAAAUGAUUGAUUCGGGGUUUUCGUUUUGUCUCUGUAUGUAUGGAAUUUAUUUAAGAAAUGACAAUUGGGUCCAUAAAAUGAUCAAAUGAAUUAAAGUUGUAAGUCCUUUUUUUUUCUUAUUUCUUCCUAAUAAUGAAAAAAACCAUUCGUACUCUCAUAACUCAAGUUGGAUAACUUUCAAACAGUUCAAACGAAAAUCUUUCGGUAAUUUCAUUUAUUGAGCGGUCUUUCCACGUUUUUGGUUUGUCUCGUCUAAAAUCGGAUUCUUCAGCCUGAUCCAGUUAUUAAGACAAUUAAAAGGUGUUUCCUUGUUCUGGGAUCCUUUAUCUUUAUUUUAUUUUAAAUCAUUGGAUUUAGACAUUACUUUGGUGCUUUUUAAUCCUUUCAAAAUGGCAGCAACAUACCCUUUUUGGGAUUUCUAGGAAAGAAUUCUAGAAGACGAUGGAUUCCCUCGUGAAACACUUUGGAUCGAAAAAUUUUGAUCAAUUCAAAGAAAUUUUGGAAUUUUUAACUUGAUCGAAUUGGAUUCUUUCGAUUUCCACGACGAAGAUAUAUUUACGAAGUUAUUUCAUUUUUUUUAUUGAUUGGCAUUAAUCCUAGAUCCCUGCCCCAAGAAAUAAAUUAAUACUUUCUACUCGAGCUCCAUCAUGGACUAUUUAUAUUCCAAGACAACAAAAAGUGAGGGGUUCUAGUGAAACAGAACCAAUGAUGUCGAGCCAAGAGCACCUUCAUUCCUACAUAAAAUGGUGGAUGUAAAAAUCCACAACGGAUCGUGUCCUUUAAGUCGCACGUUGCUUUCUACCGCAUCGUUUCAAACGAAGUUUUGCCAUAACAUUCUUCUAAGAACCAGUAUGGAAUUGACUCAAUUAUGAAAUCAUGAAUAGUCAUUGGUUGGGCUGAUGUAUAAACACCAUAAUCUAUAGUAUAGAGAUAUAAAGGGAUAUAAAUAAUACUAUAGAUAUAGGUGGAUAAAGAUUUUUCUGAAGAAGUCUCUUAGUAAGAGCCCAUCGCUAAUAUUAAUUUGUCUAACAUAUUAUAUUAAUUAAUACAUAUUAUAUUAAUUAAUAUAUUUAUUAAAUAUUUAUUAAAUUAUUUAUAUAAAUAUAUAAAUAAUAAAAUAUAUAAUAUAUAUAAAUAAUAAAAAAUAAGACGAAUAAAUGAAAUUUUUUUUAUUCAGCAUCUUCAUGUGACUUAAUAGGAGAGAAAGAUUCAGUUUAUAAGGAAUAAUUAAAACUAUUUCUCUUUCUAACUUUUGAAUAAAUUUAGAAAGUUCUCUUUCCGACAUCACAUCAUUAUUCAAAGAAAAUUUGAUAGUUAAAAAUAACUUUUGAUCAUCUUAGGAAAAAAGAUAAGUCUUUUUUUAAAGUGAAUCAUCAACGAUUUAAAUGAUUUACAUUUAAUGAUUUACAAUAGAUAAAUACACCAAAAAGCAAAUACAAUUUUAUUUAUGAGUUAUGAGAUAGAUAAAAAAAAGAUUAAUGUCAGGUAAGGUUUGAAUUCUUAUUCUUUUUUUUCAUCUGAUUGAUAAAAUACAAAGAAUGGGGAGGUGUUUGUAUCUAUCAAUUCGAUCAAAUAGACUGAGAAAUUGUCACCCUUUAUAGAUAUUAAAAUGAAUGCCUUCUCAUUACUGAUUAACUCCUAUCCACCCCAUUUUAUGGGACAGAUGCAGCAUAAAUCAAAAGAAAAUAAGGGGGCGUCCUAGUUUUUUUUAUUUUUCCAAAAUGCGAGUUGUCUAGGCACAAAGCCAAACAAGUCCAGAUUAAGUCCUGUUUUUGCUCCUUUUUUUGCUAUUUUAGCCUAACUCAUUGAUUAAGAAUUAAGAGACUUAGUGAAUUUAAUUAGUACCAAAACCCCACUCUUGAUGAAAAGUAAAGAAAUCUACAAAAAAGAAAAUUAAAUCUAAUUAGUUUAAUUUAGGGGGUAGAAAAUACGAGAUAGGGAAUCUGGAUUCUUCCGCAUCUCGAUUCAGUUUUUGAAAAGAAAAAGAUUCAUCAAAAAAAAAAAUCAGAAACAACAAUCACUUUCCAUCUAACAUUUCGAUUUUAAACAGAACAUUGUUAAAAAAGCAAUCUAUAUACUCAUAGAAUAUAUAUGUUCUCGGAUGGAGGAUUCGAACCUCCGAAUAGUGGGAUCAAAACCUGUUGCCUUACCGCUUGGCCACACCCUAUUUAGAUAUCUAUCCGAUACUAAAAAAGUAUAUUGCUGGUUUUGUUUGUUUGUCAACUCUAGUUCAAAUAUCUAUAGAAUAGAUUAAAUUGGUACUGGGAUUUUGCUAUGUUUUUGGUAUGUGUAGAUAUAGAAUUCAACUUAAUUUAUUGAUCAUUACAUAUAAUUUCAUUAAGAUAUUGUAUGAAAAUAUGAUUUUUUUCAAUUCUCCUUUGAGAAAAGGAGGAUUUUUGAUUGGGUGGGUUCAAAGAAAAAGAAUGACUUUUUGUUUACCUUACUUACUUUUCUUUUCCUUAUAUCAAUAAAUCAAUCAAAAUGCAAUUAUCUCCAAGAACAAAAAGUCUGUUAUGCUUAAUACCUUUAGUUUGAUCGGUAUCUGUCUUAAUUUGACCCUUUAUUCGAGUAGUUUUUUCUUCGGCAAAUUGCCCGAGGCCUAUGCUUUUUCGAAUCCAAUCGUAGAUAUUAUGCCAGUCAUACCUCUGUUCUUUUUUCUCUUAGCCUUUGUUUGGCAAGCUGCUGUAAGUUUUCGAUGAGAUCCUUAAUAAUAUCCUAGAAAAUUCAUGAUUUAUUCGAGAAAAAAUUCUACAAUAAAUCAAAUCAGAUAAGCUUUACCAUUUGAAAUCUCGAUUCAAACAUUGAAAUUCUUGGAUAGUCACGAGAAAUCCGGCUUAACUUAUUUCCUUCUUUUUUUGCACUUUCCUUUCGAGUGAAAGACCUUAUUAGGCUCCUCUUGUGUAUAUAAAAAUUUGGUUAAUGACAAACUCUUAUUAGAAAAGAAUUUAGAAAAAUUCUUUUAGAGAAAGAGCUUCGUUGGUUGGUGUCAAACUAGGAUAUGCGGUAGAAAAAUGGAUGAUCUAUUCCCUUUUUUUUUUCAAAAAAAAAAUCAUCUUGGAGAUUGUAUAAUUCUUACUCUAAAACUCUUCGUUUACAUAGUAGUGAUAUUUUUUGUUUCUCUCUUCAUCUUUGGAUUCCUAUCUAAUGAUCCCGAUGUAAUCCUGGACGUGAAGGAUAAAAUAAAAAUGUUUUUCGUUUCUUGAUUUUCAAAUUUUCUUAGAAUUUGGUUUAUUCCACACAUUUAACUAAGAAUAAGAACAAAGGAUUUCGAAAUUUGAAAAAAAAAAUCAAGUCAUCAACGGAAAGAGAGGGAUUCGAACCCUCGGUACGAUUAACUCGUACAACGGAUUAGCAAUCCGCCGCUUUAGUCCACUCAUCCAUCUCUCCCAAUUGAAAAAGAUAAUUACUACAUGAGAUAGCACAUAAGAUAAGGGAAAGAAUCUUUCUUUCUCUUUUUUUUUUUAUUUCUAUAUUAUAUAGAUAUGUACAACUUUUAUCAUCAAUUUCCUUUAUCUCUUUAUCUAAAGUAAAGGAAGGGCUCAGAAGAGCCAAGAAUAUCAAGAAAAAUGAAGAAGAACUCUUUUCUUUGUCUUGAUUUUGUUCGAAAGGACCCUCUUUUUCUCAUGUCCUGGUCUGGUUAGUACCCAGCCGGACCUCUUUUGUUCCAACAAAUUUGAAUUUAAAAACAAAAAUGCCUGUUAUAGUUGUAAUAUUUCAUUUUAAUUGAAUAGUUAAUAUUCAAGCAACAAGAAAAAAUUCCCAUUUUUUAUAAAGGUAAAAUAAAAUAUAUGCAAUAGAAAAUUUGAUCAAAAUAAAAGUCUCAUUUCUCUUUCUGCUUUUUGAUUUUAUGUUUACCGCCUUGCUGGACUAAAAAAAGAAGCUUUAGAGGCAUUUUUAUGUUAUGAUUUUAGUGGUUUUUAUGAUUUUAGUAGUUUUGACGAUCCUAUCUUAUCCUGUCUUAAUUACCACAAUUCCCCUGUUUGACAAAAGUUUCAUUUAUAUACAAUAAUCGGAUUGUAGCAGGUAUAGUUUAGUGGUAAAAGUGUGAUUCGUUCUCUUAUCCCUUAAAUAGUUAAAGGAUCCUUCGGUUUGAUUCAUAUUCCAAUCAAAAACUUUAUUUAUUAAAAAGAUUAAAUCCUUUUCCUCUCAAUGACAGAUUCGAGAACAAAUACACAUUCUCGUGAUUGGUAUCCAAAGGUCACUUAGACAUUGAAAAAUUGGAUUAUGAAAUUGCGAAACAUAAUUUUUGAAUUGGAUCAAUACUUCCAAUUGAAUAAGUAUCAAUAAAGGAUCCAUGGAUAAAGAUAGAAAGUUGAUUUCUAAUCGUAACUAAAUUUUCAAUUUCUUAUUUAUAAAGAAGAAAGUGAAGCAAAAUAGCUAUUAAAUGAUGACUUUGGUUUACUAGAGACAUCAACAUAUUGUUUUAGCUCGGUGGAAACAAACUCCUUUUCCUCAGGAUCCUAUUAAAAAGAAAUAGAGAAGGAAAUAACUAGAAAGGUUGUUAGAAUCCCCCUCUUCUAGAAGGAUCAUCUACAAAGAAAUUCUUUUUAUCUGUAUUCAGACCAAAAGAUGACAUAAAUGUUAUGGUUAGAAUUCUUUUUUUUUUCUAAUUUUGUUCACAUCUUAGAUCUUAUACAUUGACUCAUCUCCAUAAGGGAGCCGAAUGAAACCGAAGUUUCAUGUUUGGUUUUGAAUUAGAGACGUUAAAAAAUGAAUUGACGUCGACUAUAACCCCUAGCCUUCCAAGCUAACGAUGUGGGUUCGAUUCCCGCUACCCUCUCUAUAUCUAUUUAUUCUAAAUAUUUUAAUCUAUUCAUUAAAUCAAAUUUAGUUUAUUAGUAUUAGUACAACAUUGAAUAUACAAUUCAAAAAAUUAUUUCACAUCAGAUUCUUUCUAUUUUUUUUCAAACAAAAAGUUAAAAUAUGAAAAAAAAUCAGAAUGAAAAGUGUCCAUUGUCUAAUGGAUAGGACAGAGGUCUUCUAAACCUUUGGUAUAGGUUCAAAUCCUAUUGGACGCAAUUUAUUUCCAUAUACAUAUUUUUUUUAGAUUUCGAUAGCAAGAAAGGCUGUUUGAAUAUUUGAAUCCAGGAUGCUUAAUUCCUUUUUUUAUUAAGAUUAAGACAAGGGUGAUCAAUAUUUCUUUAUGCUUGUUCCUGAAGUAUAAAACGUUCCAUUUAUUCCUGAAUAGCUUCUUUCAAAAGAGCUUCUGCUUCCUCGGUAAAUUUCUUGGUAGGAGAUAUGAUUUCUUGGAACUGAGGUUUAUUAGUUUUUAAGUAAGUACGUAGCUCAACAAGAAAUUUCCUUACCUAUCCAACUUCUAAUGAAUUAAGAUAGCCGUUUGUUCCAGUAUAAAUAGUCAUUAUCUGCUCUGCUACCGGGAGACGAGCCGAUUGAGAUUGUUUAAGUAAUUCACGUAAUCGUUGACCUCUUGCCAAUUGAUUUUGAGUAGCUUUAUCGAGAUCAGAAGAAAGUUGUGCAAAGGCUUCUAAUUCUGCGAAUUGCGAUAGUUCUAAUUUUAAUUUACCAGCUACUUGUUUCAUGGCUUUUAUUUGAGCUGCGGACCCCACUCUGGAAACGGAGAUACCCACAUUAAUAGAAGGUCUGAUUCCAGAAUUUAAUAGGUCAGUGGAUAAGAAGAUUUGUCCAUCAGUAAUGGAAAUUACAUUAGUAGGAAUAUAAGCCAAAACAUCUCCCGAUUGAGUUUCAACUAUUGGUAAGGCGGUCAUACUUCUUUCACCUAAACUAGAACUUAAUUUAGCGGCUCUUUCCAAAAGGCGUGAAUGCAAAUAAAAAACAUCUCCUGGAUAAGCUUCAUGACCGGGCGGUCUUCGUAAUAGAAGAGACAUUUGGCGAUAAGCUUGCACUUGUUUGGAGAGAUCUCAUAAAUGAUUAAAGUGUGUCGUUCAGGAUACAUAAAAUAUUCAGCCAGAGCUGCUCCUGUAUAAGGAGCAAGGUAUUAUAAUGUAGCAGGGGAAUCCACCAUUUCGAUUACCACAAUAGUGUAUUCCAUCGCUCCCCUUCCCUAUAAAGUCAUUACUACCUGGGCCACAGAAGACGUUUUUUGACCAAUAGCUACAUAAACACAUAUUACAUUUUGACCUUGUUGAUUAAGAAUGGCGUCUGUGGCUACUGCUAUUUUAUCGGUCUGUCUGUCCCCAAUAAUUAAUUCUCACUGACCACGUCCUAUAGGGAUAAUCGAAUCAAUAGCAAUAAGCCUGGUUUGAAGAGGCUCAUAUACAGAACGACGCAAAAUAAUACCCGGGGCGGCAGAUUCAAUUAAUCAAAAUUUAGAAGCUAAAAUUUCACCUCUACCAUCAAUAGGUUUAGCCAGGGCAUUUACAACACGACCCAAAUAAGCCUCACUCACGGGUAUCUGAGCAAUUCUUCCCAUUUUUUUUACAGAAUUUCUUUCUUGUAUCAGCAAACCAUCGCCCAUUAGUACAACACCAACGUUAUUUGAUUCCAAAUUCAGAGCAAUGCCUAUUGUACCCUCUUCAAAUUCUACUAAUUCACCCGCCAUUACUUCAUCAAGACCGUAAAUAUGAGCAAUGCCACCACCUACUUGAAGUAUGGUACUGGUAUUUACAAUCUUUACUUCUAUAUUAUAUUGUUCAAUACGUUCACGGAUAAUAUUACUAAUUUCGUCAGCUCGAAUGGUUACCAUGAUUCUUUCUUAUUUUUUUUUUGAAAGAAAAAAAUAAUACCUACAACAGAAAGACUAAUCAGUUAUUUCUUUAAUUGUUCCCAACAUGCCAAUAUUGGCACUAAUGGUACGUAAAUGUAACUCGUUGUUCAAAAAACUAUUUAGAGUUCCUAGAGCUCCUCGUAAGGCUUGUUGGAAAACCCGUUGUCAGACUUGAUUAAUCACCCUUUGCUGUUCAAACUGAAUCAUUUCAUUUUUGUAAUUUUCUAAUUCUUCCAAAGUCUUAUAAGUUGAAUUAAUCAAAGUCAAUUUUUCUCGUUCUAUCUCUGAGUUUCCAUUCACUCGAAACUGCUCGACUUUUGUUUCUACUUUCCGUAAGCAAGAACGAGCUUUUUAGAGUUGUUCAAUAGCCCCUCCACGCAGUUAUUUUGAAUUUUGAAUAGUAUUCAAGAUCCUCUAUUUUUGAUUAUCUAAUAAAUCACUUAAUGAAAGUAGAUUAUUUUUCUAUUCCUUUUCAAAAUUCCAUAAUCCCUUCCCUAACCAAACAUGAAUCUUUCGAUUCAUUUGGCUCUCACACUCAAUUACUUAAGUUAAAUUCUCAUAUGUUUUUUUAUGAAUGUAAUGAGCCUAUCUUCUCUUCUUUGUUGAUAUUCCAAAAAGAUAUCAAAACUAAUGUAAGACCAAAAUAUUCGGAGGACUCUUCUGACAAAAUAAAAAAUAUGUAAUUGUCAGCAAAGUUGUUUCUUUUUUUUUUUUUCAAAUCCAAAAAGCCCUUCUUACUUAGAAUAGGUCAUUGAUUCAGCAUUAGAUAAAGGGGGUAAAAUCCCCGCUUUUACAAUUUACAAUAAGCGGUUAAAAUAAUUUUCUCAAUAUGAGUAUCCUAUAUCGAUAAAAUAUUUAUUUUGAAACCACCUCUAUAUUAACAUAGUGGUAGAAAGAGUACCAUGCUGUGUCUAGACUUCAAAAAGUUUGUUUUAACCAUGUUAAUAGUUCCGCAUUAUUGGUUAAUAGAUAAUCAAAAUCGAUAUACCAAUGAAUCACGAAAUGCUAUGGUUCUUACAUAUAAUUUCUGAAUUUAUACAGAAGUAAUUUGCGAGAUCAUGCACCUCUCUUUCCUACUUAUAACGGAAAAGGGUACAACUAGUUGGUCCAGCCUAUUCUUGAAAUAAACAACCCGCACACACUCCUUUUCCAAAAAAAAUCAAUACACCAAGCACUACACUUAGAUUUAUUGGAUUUGUUGCUAAAAUAUCGGUGGUAAACCUGAAGCUCCUGGCAGAUGGCCAGUGGCCCAAAGAAAAGAAAGAAUCGGUUACGUUUCUCAUAUGAUCUCCUCUUAUAGAUAGACUAAAAAAUCGAACAGAGUUUUUUUGUAGCACUUCGCCCCUCUUUUUAUUUAUUCUUUUAUUUUUUCUGAAAUUGAGUAAAAAAAUAAAAACUAUUCGAGUUAGUUAAAAAUUAUGAACUAAUGAACUAGCCCUUUUAUUGUUUAUUAGAACACUAAAACUUUUUCCCUUAGUCUAUGAAUGGGAAGGGUGAAAGCGAGUCAUUAUGCUAAUUCCUCAUCCGUAAAUCUGCCCUUUCCAUAGGUUCUUUUCUCAAAGAAUAAAGAAUUGGAGGAGGAAAAUUUUGAUAGAAUUUGAAAAAUAAAACAACAAGUGGAAGGCAAUAAAUAUGAAAAAUAUAUUUAUUUUUCAUAUUUCUAAGCUAAGAUUAAACAAAAGGAUAUGCAAAUAAAAGUGUUAAUGCUACAAACAGUCCAUAAAUUGUUAAAGCUUCCAUAAAAGCUAGACUAAGUAAUAGCGUACCUCAUAUUUUUCCCUUUUCCUCAGGAUGUCUCACGAUAACCUCUACAGCUUGACCCGCGACAGUCCCUUGACCAACUCCAGGUCCAAUAGAAGCAAGCCCUAUGGCCAAUCCAGCAGCAAUAACGGAAACGGCAGAAAUCAGUGGAUUCAUGAUAAGUUCCUCGUACCAAAAAAAAAGAAAUGGUUGAUGAUACAAUCAACAAAUGAAUUAUGAAUUAAUUAUUCCCUCUCUAGGACUCAUCCAGUCAAAGUAACUAAGAACUUUGGAUUGAAGUAAUAAGAUGAUUGAAUCAUCAGAACUACUUCGAUAUAUCUUUUUUACUUUUUAGCCACAGUCUUUGUGAACCCAGAUGACUUUCAUUCUCCCAUUUCUUGUUCUUGGUUCGAACUAUUAGUUGAAUUAUUUCUUGAUUUCAUCAGUUUAUUCAUUCAAUUCACAGUCACAAGGGGCCGGAAGGACUUCUAGUCUAUUAGAAUCCCCUAGAGUAGUAAAAUAUAUCUUUAGUUUAUUUCAUAUAUAUCUAGCACGAGUCAAUAUCUAAUAUCACAUAUACAUGUCUUUCUUCCAUAACGUAAACCAAUCAUUCCUCUUAGAUUCAAUCCUAUUGGAGAUCAAGCGUCGAAACAUGUAGAAGGUUUGGCUUAUAGUUAUUCAAGUACAAAUACCUUCCUCUCCUAACCGACCUUUUCUAAAAUACUAAAAAAAAUCCCUUUUUUGUAAAUUCUUUUGAAUCUUACCUUUUCUUAUUAUUCCACCUAGAUAAAUCUAAAUGGACAAAUUGAUUAGGCCGAAUAAUUCCAUAUGUUAUAGAAAUAUCAUUAUUUGGUUGAUCUAAGUUCAUGCAAUUUAUUAAUAAAAAUGAAUAAUUUUUUUAUUCAUUUUUAGUAUUUUGGUCAAUCGUUGAAUAAAAUCAACUGAAAGGGAAAUCAUUUCGCCCUUUAUUUUAUUUAAUUACACGUCGUAAACCUAUACAACAAGAAUUAUUGACAAAAAUUCUUAUAUUCAAAUUGUUUUAACAAUGAAUUAAUUUAACAAUGAAUUAAUAAUGAGUUAAGUUAAUAUAAUAAUGAGAUGGACUAAGCAAUCUAAAGUGAAUAUUCAUUGAGACGAAGUAUGAUAUUAAGUGAAGGAAAAGGGAAUUUUAGGAAAAAGAUCUUUUUUUUUAGAUCUUUUUCCCUUACUCUUUAAUAUCAUCGUAAUUUUUUUGCUAUCACUCUAGAUCGUAUAUAACAUAGUUGUAUAUUUAGAUUCCCCUAUUCUAUUCCCUAAGUUAAGUAAUUCCACCCACCAUAUACAUUUUUUCAUUGCUGUGGGCUAAGCUAAAAAAGACUAUUUCAAUGAUGGCCCUCCAUGGAUUCACCUAUAUAAGCCGCGGCUAAAGUUGCAAAAAUAAGAGCUUGAAUACCACUUGUAAAUAAUCCAAGGAGCAUGACAGGUAUAGGAACUACUAAGGGUACUAAAGAAACAAGAACAACAACUACUAAUUCAUCAGCUAAGAUAUUCCCGAAAAGUCGAAAACUAAGUGAUAAGAGUUUUGUGAAAUCUUCUAAGAUGUUAAUGGGUAAAAGGAUUGGGUUUGGUUGAAAAUAUUUUUUGAAAAAACCUAAUCCCUUUUUUGUAAGACCCAAAUAGAAGUAUUCCACUGAUGUGAGUAAAGCCAAAGAAACAAUAGUAUUUAUAUCAUUCGUGGGUGCGGCUAACUCCCCAUGAGGUAAUUGUAUGAUUUUCCAAGGUAAAAGAGCUCCUGACCAAUUAGAAACAAAAAUAAAUAAAAACAUAGUGCCAAUAAAAGGAACCCAGGGCCCAUAUUCUUCUCCAAUUUGAGUUUUACUCACAUCUCGAAUGAAUUCAAGAACAUAUUCGAAGAAAUUCUGACCCCCGGUCGGGAUGGUUUGUGGGUUCCGAACAGCUAUAGUGGCUGAACCUAAUAAGAUAGCAAUUACAACCCAAGAAGUAAUAAGUACUUGGCCAUGUACUUGGAAACCCCCUAUUUGCCAAUAGAAAUGUUGGCCUACUUCCACACCGGAUAUAUCGUAUAACCCCUUUAGAGUAUUGAUAGAACAUGAUAGAACAUUCAUAUUGCCUUGCCCUCUGAAAAAAUUGAACUUUAAACAAAAUUUUUUGAUUCAACCAUCUCUUUGUCUACUUGAAUCGGAUAUUUGUAAUACCAACUAAGAUUUAUAAUACUAAUAAAUCACAUAAUAUCCCCAGUUAUUUUUAUCUCUUUUUUGAAAUUCAGAAAUAGUAAGCGAUUCCAUAAGGGAUUUCUGAAGUAAGUUAUUUAUCUUAUUAUGUUAUUAUUAAUCAAGGAUUUCUUAUAUAGCUAGAACGACCCUCACAAAUUGCGAAUACUAAUUUAUUAAGAAUUAAUCGGAUUGAGGAUAUGGCGUCAUCAUUCGCUGGAAUUGAAAUAUCUGCGAG
rnacentral:lncRNA from 1 species